rnacentral:rRNA from 1 species
ACAAGCGGUGGAGUAGUGUGGUUUAAUUCGAUGAUACGCGAGGAACCUUACCUGGGCUCAAAUGUAUGUUGACGUAUUCUGAAAGGGAUACUUCUUCGGACAAUAUACAAGGUGCUGCAUGGUUGUCGUCAGCUCGUGCCGUGAGGUGUCGGGUUAAGUCCCAUAACGAGCGCAACCCCUAUCAUUAGUUGCCAUCAGGUCAAGCUGGGGACUCUAAUGAAACUGCCUACGCAAGUAGUGAGGAAGGUGGGGAUGACGUCAAGUCAUCAUGGCCCUUAUGUCCAGGGCGACACACGUGCUACAAUGGCCGGCACAGCGGGAAGCGAGGCAGUGAUGCCAAGCGGAUCCCUUAAAGCCGGUCUCAGUUCGGAUUGAAGUCUGCAACUCGACUUCAUGAAGCUGGAAUCGCUAGUAAUCGCAGAUCAGCCAAGCUGCGGUGAAUACGUUCCCGGGCCUU